GCCCGAUUAGCUCAGCUGGUUAGAGCGUCGUACUAAUAUCUUGUCUUACCGAGAGAUAUCAAGUCCAUGCGAAGGUCAACAGUUCAAUCCUGUUAUUGGGCA